AAGUCGUAACAAGGUCUCCGUUGGUGAACCAGCGGAGGGAUCAUUAAUGAGUUUCUAAAACUCCCAACCCAUGUGAACAUACGUGAAUUGCCUUGCCGGCGUACCCGGUAGCUACCCUGUAGUUACCAGGUAGUUCGCCGAAGGACAUCAAAACUCUGUUUUAAGUCUUAUUUGUGACCAACUUUUAAAUAAGUCAAAACUUUCAACAACGGAUCUCUUGGUUCUGGCAUCGAUGAAGAACGCAGCGAAAUGCGAUAAGUAAUGUGAAUUGCAGAAUUCAGUGAUUCAUGGAAUCUUUGAACGCACAUUGGGCCCUUUAGUAUUUUAGUGGGCACGCCUGUUCGAGCGCCAUUAAUUCCACUUAAGCCUCUUUGCUUAGUGUUGGGAAUCUACUUGAGCGGUGCUACCCGGGACUUACCCGGUAGCUACCCUGUAGUUCCUCAAAGACAGCGGCGGAGAUGUAGUAUCCUCUGAGGUUAGUAACUUGUUCCUAGCUUUUGAGUGGACGGGGCUUCUGACGGAAAAACACCAUACUUUUUAAUGGUUGACCUCGGAUCAGGUAGGAAUACCCGUUGAACUUAA
rnacentral:rRNA from 1 species